CGAUAGCGUAUAUGUAAGUUGUUGCAGUUAAAAGCUCGUAGUUGGAUUUCGGAUGUGAACGACCGGUCCGGCGUUGCGGUGUGCACUAGACGUUUGUAUCGUGUUGUCGGGGACGCGCUCCUGACCUUAACUGGGAGGGACGCGGAGUCGGCGCUGUUACUUUGAUAAAAAUAGAGUGUUCAAAGCAGGCAACCGCUCUGAAUACAUUAGCAUGGAAUAACGCUAUAGGACUCUGGUCCUAUUGUGUUGGUCUUCGGGACCGGAGUAAUGAUUAAGAGGGACAGUUGGGGGCAUUCGUAUUUCAUUGUCAGAGGUGAAAUUCUUGGAUGUACGAAAUACGAACUUCUGCGAAAGCAUUUGCCCAGGAUGUUUUCAUUAAUCAAGAACGAAAGUUGGGGGCUCGAAGAUGAUCAGAUACCGU
rnacentral:rRNA from 1 species